AUACAAAGGGUAUUGAGCCCAGACUAACUUGAAUUUAAUAUACUACACUAAAUGAUUUCCAAUCAUCCUCUUCAAUCUGCCGUGUUUUACUCCCCCAUAAUCUGCAAAUCAUAUUCCAAAAAUAACCUUCAUAUCCUUAAAUUUCAUUUAUUUGGAGAAUCAGUCACCAAAAAUUACUUCCAAUACACGUUAUAUCACAACCCUAAUUGUCACCCUUUUUUUACCGCCUCACUUUCACACAUACUACCAUUCUGCAAUACAAACAAUCUCUAUCAUCCCUCAAGCAAAUUCUUGGACGGAGCAAGGAAGGAGGAGGAAGUAAAACAGUUUUCUUCAUCAGCCGCUUGCACCUAAGUUCAUACCGUUCUCCCUCACUGUGGUCUCGAUUCUAGGAGAUCACAAUCAAACUCAAGCUUCCUGCAAGAACAAGUUCCUACCUACUUUCUUCAAUCCAGUCAAAUUCACGAAACCGAGAACCGAGAUCUAGAGACGGACUACCGCUUUUUUUCACCGAAAUCUGUCGUUGAAGGUUGAGCGGCGACGAGCUUGAGGUGGUGUUGAGUCGAACCUGAAUUAUUGUUGGAUUUUAUUUUGAACUCGAGGGUCGUCGUGUCUUCAUACACGGCGUCACUCUUACUCUUGAAUGCUUCCGCUGAUAUAAUACUAUUUUUCACAACUAUGUUUUGAACCCUUUUACUCUUGAAUUAUAAAUGAUGACAAUUGUUAACCUAGGUUUAAAACAUAAGCAUUUACUUUGAUUUUUCCCUCGACAUUUGAAUAUUAAUUAUCUUUGUCAAAUUCAUUAUUGAAACCCUAGAAAAUUCUCCCUUCUUAAAGUACCA